AUGAAUGCCAAGGUAAGAUACUGAAAUUUCCUCAUAAGGGAUUUAGAUUAAUUGCUUAAUGUGCUACAAUGAUGACAUUUAUUUGCUACUCUUGACUGCAGGAAUGACGAUAGACUAAACCACCAUUAUUUUAACUGAGGCACACAAAAUAGUUAUUUGGGGACUGUAGAGAUUGCACCUUGGUAACAUGAAAUUGUUUUUUCCCAGGUAAAAAAGAGCCUCUCCAGCAAUGGACGCAAGGUUAGAAACAUUUAUAUACUCAUGCAUUAUUUAAAAUUGAAAGUAGACAAAACAAUCUUAUUAGCAUUUCCCCCUUUGUAGAUGUGAUCUGCUCUAAUUCCUAAAUCAAACUUCUGGGGGCAGGCGGAAGAGGCAGAUACUGUGAUGGUUGCAUAGUUCAGCAGAUUUAAGGCAUGAAGAAAUUUACCUUUUCUGAUGUAUCUGGGAUUGUUGUUCAUGGCUGUUAAUCAGCAUAAGCAAUAUGGCAAUUAGCAACUUUAAGAUCUAAAAUUUUUUUAUAUAUUUUUUUUUUAGGCACUAGAUAGAAAACCAGAAGUAGAAAUGGUGAGUAAAGCAUUCCACUAAACAUAGGUAGCUGGGCAAAAAAGAUGGCGUUUUUGGAUUGCAUUUUUUUGUAGUAAGCACUCAAGCAUGAGGGCUAAAUUCAUUAAAUGCCAGUAUCUUGCCUGUUACCAUUUCUGUGAGGUCAGUGUGGCCUGGAUGAUGAUAAGAAGAUAACUGACUGAACGUGAAGUUUUUAAUUAGCUCUAACUGAUUUCGGGCAUUGUUGGUUUGGGCUGGGAGAAAUUUCAUAUUUGGCUAUUCUAAAGUCACCCUUAUUCAUUAGGUGGAGGAUGAUUUCUUUGGAUCUGCUUUAUUUUUCUAGUAAGUAUUGGAAAGCAUUACCUGAGAAUGCCAAUAAACUGCAUGCCUGUUGCAUAAUUUAAAAGUGAAUGAAAACUUGGCAUAUUUGAGCAUGCUCCAAAUGGGGUUUGUGUAAUGAUGUUGUUCAAAUGUCUGACCUGAAAUGAGCAUGUAGACAAGUUUUAUGCUGAAGAACCCAAGACAUACAGUUUGAAGAGAAUUGAUGACAUUUAGCAUACUAACAAAGUUCCUCAUACUUUCAUUUGUAGUUCCUGGAAACACAUUUUGAUCUGGAUAGCAUGAUUGGGUAAGACCACAAAAACAAUUUUUUAGUUCCUGAUGUCUUAGGUUUAUAGUUUUGAAACAUAAUUUUACUAAUGAAUUGUUAAGUCUAAGGAUUAUUUCUUGUUAAACCAGUAGACCAGAAAUAACUUUACUAUAUAUAAAGUAGAUUUAACAAUUGAAUAAGGGUUGCAAGUAUUUGUAAAUAAGGUAAAUAACUGUUUUCAAAGUUAGUAUGAAACUGUUGGGAAGAAGUUUCUAAAGCAAUAACUUUACAGAUUGGAGACCUGUUUUUUUUAAUAUUUUAAAGUUGUUGAUGGACCUUUAUUAUGUGGUGCUGAGAAUCGAACACAGUGCCUCAUGCAUGCCAGGCAAGCGUGCAACCACUGAGUCACAACCCCAGCCCUGAAACUAUUUAAAGGUAUGUAUCAUUUAUCUUACAUACUUAUUGUGUAAGGUGCUGUUAAUGAUGACUUAAAGUUGAAACAGAUGGGAAUCUCUCUGACAGAGAAUGAAGAUUAACGUUAAACUGAAACAGUAGUUGGAAAAUAUUUAGAAAUAUCUUUGUUAAAAACCUAUUGCUAAGUUAGACUAAAUUCCUGCAGGUACACAGACUCAGCUUGGGAAGCAGUGGCAAGAAGUUUUAAGCAAAGGUACAUCAGUCUCAAGAUUUUAAUUAAGGGGUGAACUAAGGCCUUGCAUAUACUAGGUGGGCACCUCAGGCCUCAAGCUGGAUAUAGACUAGAUGUUCUCAAAGCCGAUACAAUGAUGAUAACAUAGUUCAGCAGAUUUUCACUGAUGAGCAAUCAUGUCUUUCGCUCCUAUCUGAUGUAUCUGGCUCAACAAUCCAACUCAUUCUGUUAAAAAUGACCUUUUAUUGUCCCCAUACAAAAUUUUUAUGGACUUGGUACUACAAUGACUGUUUCAGAUCCUACCCUGUAUUUUCCAUUAAUGCCAGGAGUGAAGCUGGACAAGGUGUGUCUAUGAUCCUCCUAUCUACACUAUCCUGAGGGAUGACCAUCUCAUGAGCCCAGGAGAUAGUGGCCAGGAGAAGCAAUAAUGAGAACUCUUGAAUUCAUGAUUGGGGAGGUUAGUACCAAAACUUAGGAUAAUUUUAUUACAUACUCAAAAUUACUUAGCUUAACUAAAACAUAAAUACUUUUUAAAAAAUUACUUCACUUGCCCCAAAUGAGUGCUUAGCUAGCUAUUUUUUUAAAGAUGAAAAUAUGCCACUAAAAUGAAAGAGAGUAGGACCUUUACCAUUUACUUUGGGAUGCUGGGGAUUGAACCCUGGGCUUCAUGAAAGCUAAUCUAUGUUCUCCACCAUAAAGUACGAUAAAUUUCAAGUGUAUACUUGUUUUCUUUAACAGGUUUGCUGCAUCCUGAGAUCUAGGUAUGUCAAGAUUUAGUACAUAUAUUACAUAUUUUAGUAUGUAACCAGUGAUGUAAUGAUUCUGCCAAAUGAAUGUAAUGAUAUCACUUUCAAAACCGUUCCAUUUUUGAUUCUGAGGUUACUACACCUAAAAAGCAUCCUGUAACAUUUUUUUGCCAUGAUUAAUAUGGACUUUUCUGUUUUAGGGCUUUUGUGGCAGCUGCAGGGAUAUCACUUAACCUUUAGGUAAGUAUUGAAACUAUCAGCACUAAUUACUAUUCUGAAUACAUGAUGAUCUCACCCCAACUUGAACUCUCUCACUGAUCACUUGAUGACAGUAAAAAGAUCUGAUAUUCUGUGUUCCCCAAGUACCAUUUAAGUUGUAAUCUGGAAAUGUGGCUAAAAAGUGUUUUUUGUUGCAGGUAGCUGGAUGGAUGCUCUUUUGGGAUAGAAGAUUGAAUAUGUCAUCACUUUAAGUUUCUGAAGAGAUCUGAGUCUAGUUUUGGGCUGCGGGUUGAACCUAUGAAGUAUAUUUCAAGCAUGAUGGGGAAGGGAAUAAAGGUGCCUAAUAAAAGUCACUAAGGAAAAUUUUAGUGCUCUGUCAUUUUGAGUUGAAAUAGAGCCUGUACAAGUCAUGAAGACUUCUUUAUCAGUGUAGGCAAUACACUGGUAUUGGGUGUCUUAAAGGUUGUUUUCUGCUUGAAAUGCCAUAUUUAAUGCCAACAGAAAUAAGAUCUGCUCAGGAUGAGCCAUAUAUUUGAG
rnacentral:lncRNA from 1 species